rnacentral:rRNA from 1 species
AAGCGGAGGAAAAGAAACUAACAAGGAUUCCCCUAGUAACUGCGAGUGAAGCGGGAAAAGCUCAAAUUUAAAAUCUGGCGGUCCUUGGCCGUCCGAGUUGUAAUCUAGAGAAGUGUUACCCGCGUCGGACCGUGUACAAGUCUCCUGGAAUGGAGCGUCAUAGAGGGUGAGAAUCCCGUCUUUGACACGGACUACCGAGGCUUUGUGGUGCGCUCUCAAAGAGUCGAGUUGUUUGGGAAUGCAGCUCAAAAUGGGUGGUAAAUUCCAUCUAAAGCUAAAUAUUGGCGAGAGACCGAUAGCGAACAAGUACCGUGAGGGAAAGAUGAAAAGAACUUUGGAAAGAGAGUUAAACAGUACGUGAAAUUGCUGAAAGGGAAACGCUUGAAGUCAGUCGCGUCCUCCGGGAAUCAGCCUUCCUUCUGGUUGGUGUACUUCCUGGUGGACGGGCCAGCAUCAGUUUUGACCGGUGGAAAAAGUUCGAGGGAAUGUGGCACCUUCGGGUGUGUUAUAGCCCUCGUUCGUAUACAUCGGUUGGGACUGAGGAACUCAGCACGCCGCAAGGCCGGGAUUCGUCCACGUUCGUGCUUAGGAUGCUGGCAUAAUGGCUUUAAUCGACCCGUCUUGAAACACGGACCAAGGAGUCUAACAUGCCUGCGAGUGUUUGGGUGGAAAACCCGAGCGCGUAAUGAAAGUGAAAGUUGAGAUCCCUGUCAUGGGGAGCAUCGACGCCCGGACCAGACGUUCUCUGACGGUUCUGCGGUAGAGCAUGUAUGUUGGGACCCGAAAGAUGGUGAACUAUGCCUGAAUAGGGUGAAGCCAGAGGAAACUCUGGUGGAGGCUCGUAGCGAUUCUGACGUGCAAAUCGAUCGUCAAAUUUGGGUAUAGGGGCGAAAGACUAAUCGAACCAUCUAGUAG